rnacentral:misc_RNA from 1 species
UCUAAAUGGAAAGAAGAGCAUUUUGUGAUUGUCUCUUUAACUGGCUGGGGAUUACUCUUCUAUGGAGGUUACAAGUUCUUUACUGGAGACAAGAAAGACAAGAAGGAAGAGAAGGUUGGAGAAAAAUCACACUAGGUUUGGAAUACUACCCAAAUAUAUCUAGAAGUAAAUCUGGGAUGAGGAUGUUUUUCACAUGUUAAGACCCUCCAGUUUUGGACAGUUUUAUUU